CUGGGAAACUGGGUCUAAUACCGAAUAGGACCAUAAUCUUCAUGGGUUGUGGUGGAAAGCUUUUGCGGUGUGGGAUGGGCCCGCGGCCUAUCAGCUUGUUGGUGGGGUAAUGGCCUACCAAGGCGACGACGGGUAGCCGGCCUGAGAGGGUGACCGGCCACACUGGGACUGAGAUACGGCCCAGACUCCUACGGGAGGCAGCAGUGGGGAAUAUUGCACAAUGGGCGCAAGCCUGAUGCAGCGACGCCGCGUGAGGGAUGACGGCCUUCGGGUUGUAAACCUCUUUCAAUAGGGACGAAGCGUGAGUGACGGUACCUAUAGAAGAAGCACCGGCCAACUACGUGCCAGCAGCCGCGGUAAUACGUAGGGUGCGAGCGUUGUCCGGAAUUACUG
rnacentral:rRNA from 1 species